rnacentral:rRNA from 1 species
CUUGAACGCUGGCGGCAGGCUUAACACAUGCAAGUCGAGCGAGCGGUGGACGGGUGAGUAAUGUCUGGGAAACUGCCUGAUGGCGGGGGCUAACUACUGGAAACGGUAGCUAAUACCGCAUCCCAUCAGAUGUGCCCAGAUGGGAUUAGCUAGUAGGUGGGGUAAUGGCUAACCUAGGCGACGAUCCCUAGAUGGUCUGAGAGGAUGACCAGCCACACUGGAACUGAGACACGGUCCAGACGCCGACGGGAGGCAGCAGUGGGGAAUAUUGCACAAUGGGCGCAAGCCUGAUGCAGCCAUGCCGCGUGUGUGAAGAAGGCCUGCGGGUUGUAAAGCACUUUCAGCGAGGAGGCGUUACGCGCAGAAGAAGCACCGGCUAACUCCGUGCCAGCAGCCGCGGUAAUUC